UACGAAGGGUGCAAACGUUGCUCGGAAUUAUUGGGCGUAAAGCGCACGUAGGCGGCUUGGCAAGUCGGAUGUGAAAUCCCUCGGCUCAACCAAGGAAGUGCAUCCGAAACUGCCGAGCUUGAGUACUUAAGAGGAUCGCGGAAUUCCCGGUGUAGAGGUGAAAUUCGUAGAUAUCGGGAGGAACACCGGUGGCGAAGGCGGUUCUCUGGGCCUUACCUGACGCUGAGGAGCGAAAGCGUGGGGAGCGAACAGG
rnacentral:rRNA from 1 species